CUCUGCUCAGAAUUUAAUUCUGAGCCUCCUUGUGGCCAUAUCAGAGUAAAAGGGGUGACGGGUGAGCCAAAAAUCGCGGGGCAAAGCCUGGCAGAGUCACCGCGACCAAAACCCUAAAGCCUCUCUAAUGACCCCCUUCCCAUUUUCUGUUUCAUACGUUUCUUUGACCAUUGUGUUCACAAUCCCUUUCUGUACAUGUUAGUCGAAUAAAAAACCCCAGCCCGAAGGAGAACCGACUGAGCCGACGCACCCAGAGGCCUCCACGCCGGCUGGUUCAGUUUUUUGAUUUUUUUCCUGGUCGCUUCUUAACGUGUUUUUCACAAUGAUACAUGUAAAACUUACCAAAACUGGCCAAAACCGACCAAGCUGAGGCGAACCGCUACCGUUGGUGGCGGAGCACGGCAGCACCGCCAUGCU
rnacentral:lncRNA from 1 species